UCCCAUCGAUAAUCUCGAAAGAUCUGGGGUAAUUUCUAUAUUUUCUUAAAAGCCAAAUAAACGUCUGAAACUUAUUAAAUAUGUUGUCUAGAUGUGAGUAAGUAAUGUUUAACUCAAAAUAGCACAAGUGUAAUAAAGUUUGUACAUUUUGAAAUAUUUUGUGGAAAGCACAACUAUGCGACAGUUGACCGCACUGUUUGUUUACAUUCUGGACUUAGAAUUUGCGCGCUCGGAGGCCGUGUUGUGAAAUGAUCUGAAAUAUACUGAAAUACACUCCUCGUAAAUGCUGCAGUCCUUGUCCAGUGUACGAGCACAGUCCCAGAAUGGAAGAAGGAUAGUUAAGAUGCAUCGCAGACCUUCAAGGAGUGGAUUUUUUUCCUGUAAGGAGUCAAGAUGAGGAAAAAAAAUUCCACCAAGAAGAAAACAGAUCUGGAUUCACAUGCAAGACUUGCAACAGUUUUGUAUAAUUACAUUUACUCAUAUUAAAAAGGUGUGCUGACCUUUGUCUUAUCGGUCAAGUGUUCAGUUAUCACCCCCUACCCAGGGCAUUGUCACAGUAAGUUGGGUAAAUCGUAUCAAGUUUAAUUUACAACAAAACCAAUGUCCAGACCCAGUGAGAUGCCCAGCUAUCUAGUGAUGGGACUACAAACUUAUUCAGUUGCUCAAUUAUAGUGUAAGCGGCUUUUAACUUAGAGUCCUAUCUGAUAUCAAUUAUGAAAAUUGAAUGAUAGAUAUGAUACAACUACCCUUCAUGGUUUUUUGCACUCAUCUUCAAUCAUUUUCUUAACUAGAGUUUCCUUAAUAACGUGUGAUAUGAUCUGUGUGAUUUUUCUUCACUUUCUACAUGUUGUAAGUGCUAAUUGGAUUUCAGCUGUGGACUUGACAUGCUGGAUUGAGGAUGCGUUCGCGCACUCGAACCUAAUUCGUCGAAUGUCAUAAUCAUAUGCCAUUGCAAAUCCUUUGAAAGCACAAAUUAUUCAGUGUGUUGUUUUAAUUGACUUUUGCUAAAUGUAUGUUACUGGUGCUCAACUCUGUCAAUAAUAUUUUUUAUUCUAGCUUGGGUACUGUCAUUGUAAGUAAGAUCAAGUGAGAUGCCCUGCCACCUAGUCGUGAUACUCUGCGACACCUCCUCUACCACUGGGAAAUGUUGUGGUUCAAGUGAUUUAGUUAAUCUUCUGUCUAAGAAAAAUGGCUGGGAUUCAGCGCUUGACUUUAACUAGAAAUCAAACAAAAUUGAAAAGAUUUUAGCUACAUUUGAGUGAGUGUCAGUGGCCUAUAGCUGUUGGGGUCCAGCUUAUCAUUCUUCUUUGAGACAUGGAGUCCCAGAACUAUUUCGAAGAGUGGAGUUUUCCUUCAAAGCUUGUCCAUAUUGUGGCCACCUGCAACUCUAUGUGAUAAUGACCUUUGGCACCAUCUGCUUCAAAGCAUUUGGAACAAAACUGUGGACGUAUUACCAUUGGCACUGUUGUCUCUUUUCAUUUAUGAACAUAGCGUUCUUUCUCCGGAUUGAAAAGUAAUUAUACUUGUAACGCCUGAAGCCCAUGCUCUCUGUGUUCUGUUUUGUUUAAUAAUCUAAUUGUUUAAAAUUACUUUGGCCUUGAGACAUCCUAUUUCAUGUAAACUUCAUGUAAACAAUUCUUUUGUGGUCAAUGGGUUAAAUUUAGUAUAAUUUGAUUUCAUCGUUUGUUGUGAGCUUAUGGUUUGUUCCAUGAGUGAGUUUAUGACAGUCGUUCGAGAGAUUUUGGGCAUGAUUGUAGAGUCCUAGAUUGAGCUGUUUUUGUGCCACGUUAUCAUUCAAUUUUCCAGAAUUCAGUCUAGUUAUUUCUAUAUUAUCUUUUGUUUUGCAGGCACCAUUAAUUGGCCAAGUAAGCAUGUUGUGAUCACACAUACAUCAUUGUCUUUUUCAAUAUUAAGAAUAUCCAUAUUUCCUGUUUCCACAUUCUUUAUUAUAUGGCCAAUAUUUUUGUUUGAGAUGUUCCUUGCUUUCUUUUUAGAUGUGUGUUAAAUCCUAGUUGGAACAUGGCAUUAAAAAUCUCUUCUUUUUUGACAGAGAUUUUAUUUACCUGUAGAUCAAUUUUAAAGUCUCCUACAAUAUACAGUGGUUCAUAUUUAUUUUCCUCAGAACGGAUUUUGUUAGAUCUAUGCAGUUAUCAAAUUCAUAUAUGUUCGGAUUGUUGGACCCCACUAAAUUCAUUAACAUACUUUCCUUCUAGUUUCAUAUGGAUGAUUUUAACAUAUCUUAAUAUUUAUAUAUUCCAAUAACUUGCCUCCUUUUCUUCUUCCUAUCAUAUUGUGAAGAUCAUUGACUUUGUUAAUUUUGUUGAAAAUGGAGUCCUCAGGAUUCAUCCAAGUUUCUUCAAGACAUGUAAUGUCUAUUUCACCAUAGCUUUGUAUGACACUUUUGAUUUUAUCAAACUUCCCCUCUGGAUUUUUGAUUUUGCCUUUGAAACAUGCAUAUGUAAUCAGUCUUGUCUUCUCUUUUAAGAUUGUGACUUGAUAAUAUACGUAUUUCAAUUAUUUUGGGUCUGUUAAACUUAAACGUCUAGUCCUAAAUUGUUUGCCACUAUCUCAAAGUCAGUGGAGUGUAUUUCAUAUCUUUUAUCUUUGGGAUCAUCUUUGGCCAUUUGGGUCGUAAUUUCUUGGCAAUCAUAAAAGCACUAUUGUUGGUCAGUGUAUAAGGCAGGCCAGCCAAAGGUCAUACUUUUCCUCUCCCCCUCUCGCUUGUGAACUCCUAUUCUGACCGUGCUUUGAAAAGUACAACCCUUCGCUGAUCUCUCUGUAGAAUAUCCCUCAUUGCUGAAAUAUGUUCUUUUUUUGGUAUUGUUUUUCAGGGGAGAAAUUGUCAUUGAUAAAAAGAAGUCUAAGGCGGAAAUUGAUUAUCAGUAAUUUGUAUUAUUUAAUUUUGUUCUUGAGCAGCCUAGUUAUGUGUAAGGAAAUAUGUCUUUGUGGAUGAAGUAGUGGCACGACCGUUUCAGUUUUGGGCAAUUCCAGAAAAAAUUGUAAGAAAUGUCCGUCAGUGACGGCAUUUGUGAGCGACUGAGAGGUGCUACAGGUUGUCAGUGGCUCACAAAUGCCGUCACUGAUGGACACCCCUGUCUGGAAUUGUCCUUUAAGGCUCAACUUGAGAUCAGUCUAAAUUUCUUAUUGGAUGCGAAGUGGUAAUGUGUAAAAGUUCAGUUUUCUAUAAACAACUCUGCUUGUAUUGCUGGCUUUUACCAUCCUCGAUCUCAUACUGAUAAAUAUGCCUUCAUUCCUGAAGAUGAAUGGAACGAGUUGCGAUAACUUGUAAGAGUUACAGAGCCAGCUCCUUUAUCUAUAAUUGUAUUGUACAUCCUACAGAUAAAAUAUAUCUCCACUCAUACUUGUGCGCCAAAAUUGUUUUUGAUUUUGUAUUGCUUACUAAUACAGGAGCUGAGCAUGCCCGGGAAAUAUCAGAAGAUGCAUCAACAUUUCGAGCAGUUUUUGUACAAAUUUGAGUUAAAUAAAAUCGAAACUCCA